GCCGUAGGGAAACCGAGUCUUAACCGGGCGUUAAGUUGCAGGGUAUAGACCCGAAACCCGGUGAUCUAGCCAUGGGCAGGUUGAAGGUUGGGUAACACUAACUGGAGGACCGAACCGACUAAUGUUGAAAAAUUAGCGGAUGACCUGUGGCUGGGGGUGAAAGGCCAAUCAAACCGGGAGAUAGCUGGUUCUCCCCGAAAGCUAUUUAGGUAGCGCCUCGUGAAUUCAUCUCCGGGGGUAGAGCACUGUUUCGGCUAGGGGGCCAUCCCGGCUUACCAACCCGAUGCAAACUGCGAAUACCGGAGAAUGUUAUCACGGGAGACACACGGCGGGUGCUAACGUCCGUCGUGAAGAGGGAAACAACCCAGACCGCCAGCUAAGGUCCCAAAGUCAUGGUUAAGUGGGAAACGAUGUGGGAAGGCCCAGACAGCCAGGAUGUUGGCUUAGAAGCAGCCAUCAUUUAAAGAAAGCGUAAUAGCUCACUGGUCGAGUCGGCCUGCGCGGAAGAUGUAACGGGGCUAAACCAUG
rnacentral:rRNA from 1 species